GAUGAACGCUGGCGGCGUGCCUAACACAUGCAAGUCGAGCGAAGCACUUUAAUUUGAUUCUUCGGAUGAAGGUUUUUGUGACUGAGCGGCGGACGGGUGAGUAACGCGUGGGCAACCUGCCUUACACAGGGGGAUAACAGUUAGAAAUGACUGCUAAUACCGCAUAAGACCACAGUACUGCAUGGUGCAGUGGUAAAAACUCCGGUGGUGUAAGAUGGGCCCGCGUCUGAUUAGGUAGUUGGCGGGGUAACGGCCCACCAAGCCGACGAUCAGUAGCCGACCUGAGAGGGUGACCGGCCACAUUGGGACUGAGACACGGCCCAG
rnacentral:rRNA from 1 species